GCGUCAAUAGCUCAGUGGAAGAGCAGUGGGACGAUACCCCACCGACCUCGGGUUUGAUUCCCGAUCGACGCU